rnacentral:rRNA from 1 species
AUGAGGACGAGGAUGCCGAAUUCAGGCGGCAUUGCUGGUCCGGGCCUCCGAGGGAUCAGACCGUCCUCCGGCGACCUCUGCUUCCUCUUCCUCAACACCUUGGCCGCCUGGUCCAGGGGAGACCGCAGCUCCGCGCUCGUAGGCCUGCCCAAUCCUCCUCCUGCUCCUCGCGCUGCUCUUCCCUUCCCCCGCCCCCGCCCCCGCCAGUGCCGCCUCGCUGUCCCCGCUCGCGGCCAUCUCCAACGCCUCCUCCCACGCCUACGCCCACCCUGGAUGCCACCUUCUUUGACGCGACGUCGUCGACACCGUCGCCAACAAGGCGCGCUCGUCGGCGCCGUUCAGCGGUACGAGUUCCGCGCCGGUGCGGGGGGCGCCGCGGUCGCGCUGGCACGGGCCUCUGACGGGGCCGUCAACUGGAGCCGCCCCGACGCCCCCAUGGUGGAGAAGGUGGUCUGGCCCGACGGGGUCGACUUCGUCGCCGGCGACGGCGCCCUGGCGUUCGGCACCGGCGUCAGGGACAUGGACAUAGUAGGGCCGUUCGAGCUGGUGGUCUCCGAUUGUCAGCCUUUACCCAAUUGCAAGAUCUUCAUCAGAAUAAAAAAGGGGAGACUGAGACCGCUGUUUUCGAAUUUGGAAACAGUUGAAUUCCUGGCAAACCAUUUCACCACACGUGUUCAGUUUGUCAUUUUGAGUUCAUGCCCCCCUUCUUACACAGCGGCGAGGCCAACCAGGGCGUACGUAGUGCGUCCAUUUAGGCGUGGCGGCCUGCGGAUUUGGGUGCACGGCAGCCGGCCAACAUGCUGUGUGGGCGUGAUGUUGUCGGCAUGUUGUACAUGA